rnacentral:rRNA from 1 species
AUUGAACGCUGGCGGCAUGCCUUACACAUGCAAGUCGAACGGCAGCACGGGGGCAGCCCUGGUGGCGAGUGGCGAACGUGUGAGUAAUGCAUCGGAACGUGCCCAGUAGUGGGGGAUAACUAGUCGAAAGAUUAGCUAAUACCGCAUACGACCUAUGGGUGAAAGCGGGGGAUUCGCAAGAACCUCGCGCUAUUGGAGCGGCCGAUGUCUGAUUAGCAGUUGGCGGGGUAAAAGCCACCAAGGCUUCGAUCAGUAGCUGGUCUGAGAGGACGACCAGCCACACUGGGACUGAGACACGGCCCAGACUCCUACGGGAGGCAGCAGUGGGGAAUUUUGGACAAUGGGCGCAAGCCUGAUCCAGCCAUGCCGCGUG